rnacentral:misc_RNA from 1 species
UACUGAUAACACUAACAUUAGUAAACACUAUGGCGGGUAUUAAGGGGUUAAUAGCGCUAGCAUUCUUGGGCUCAGUUGGAAUGACCUUUCUAGUUCUUGCAUGUGCUUUACCUCAGUUUAACAACUGGUGGCCUCUGUUUGUCAUUGUAUUUUACAUCCUUGCUCCUUUCCCUACAAUUAUAUCUCGUCGUUUUAAUGAUGAUAUGGGAUCUAGUAAUGCUUGCAAAGAGUUGUGUAUCUUUAUAACAACGGGAAUUGUCAUCUCAUCUUUUGGAUUGCCAAUUUUGUUAGCCAGAUCACCGCGGGAGCAACCUGUGAUAGAGUGGGGAGCUUGUGGAUUGAUUCUGUCUGGCAAUAUUGUUGUGUUUUUAACCAUCUUGGGCGUCUUUAUGGUCUUUGACAAUGAUGAGGUUGACUACAGCAUGUGGUGAUCGUAACUUGUUCCUGAUAAGAGCUUGAAUAUUAGUUAUAUGAAAUCAGACCAGUUUUUAUGGAUACAACAUGGAAAGUGGACACCGUGAUAGUAAGUGCAUCAUGAGUUGAGCCUAUUUGAUACAUGGUAAUGCUAUGUCCUGUUCCAUUGCAGUAACCCAUACAGAAGUCUCUUGAUACUCCUGAUAUGUUGAAGAAGCUGUUUAAGUUAAAUACGAGUUAAAACAUUUAUUGCAAAAUUUUAUGAAAAAUUUGUAUUACAUUCAAUUUCUAUUUCUUGUACUUGUGGCAUCUAAGAAAAUAUAGUUUGUAAAUCUUAUAUGAAAACUAGUACAAUGUAGAUUUUUAGCACUGAUUAAACAAUUUAUAGUGUAAGAUGUAACUAUAAUUAUUCUUGAGUCUUUGCCUCUGUGUGUAAAUGUUUCUAUCAGUUGCAUUCUAUGAAUAUUAGUUUAAUAUUUUUUACUUUUUUAGAUUUAUGUAAAAUAAUUCAUACACUGUAUGUAUUUAUUGAACAAUGUUUUUGAUUCAGUUGGUACUUACUUGUGUCUUGAUGCAAACAUGUUUAUGUAAUAAAUUUUAUUAAUUUCGUUAAACGUUUUCAUGAUAAAAUGAAUAAUUACUCAGAAAAUAAUUUUUUUUUAAAUAUUAAAAGACACAUUAGGAUUUUUGAAAAUUAUACUAAAAUGUGCCAAUUGAGUAAAAAUAUGCUUGUAGAACAUCAGUGUCAGUAUUGUAUUUGUUACCUUUUCAAAACAUUCUUCGCUUUGCUAUGCCAACACUUUACCUUCUAGAAACUUAUUUAUGAAUAAAAACAAAAGUUCUUAAAACUAUUUUGUAUAAGUUUUUAAACUUGUUACCUUAUUUUAACUCUUAAAAAAAGUUUCCAGAAUAAUUUAUCUGACAAAUAUUUUUUUUCAAUUAAUUUUUAAAACUACCAUCUAGUUUUGGUGGAAUGCUAGCCAAAAGACCCCAUAUCUCUAAAAUGAUCCACUUGUCCCAAAAAGUGUAAUCAGGCUGACUAUCAUGCUGUGAAUGGCAAGUAGUUGUGCUGCCAUAUAAAGAAUCUGCAUGUAUACUGUUUAUAUAAACAGUAGCUAACAAAGUGAGCAAUAUCAUUUCCAGUUUUGGCUUAUCUGUUUAAUACACACACUAAUUAUCAAUGGCAAUAAGCUCAUUUUAAAUCAUGAGAAUUACUUUGUUUUUACAUCUCCCCACUUUACUUUCCCAGCAGUUCACCACAUCGGUAAAACUUGUUGAUCAAGAGACAGUAUAAUUCAAUUGUAACGUCGUAAAAUAAACAUUACCAACAGAUAGGGGGAACAUAAUCCUCCAUGUUGUAUAAUCAGUAUCCUAGUGUAACAAGUGUUUAAAAUCUAGCCAAAUAUAGAACAGAAAUGUGAUGUCACCCAAAGCGUUUUUUACAUGAAGAUCAGAUUGCACUGUCUCCUAAAAACAUCUAUUUUUGAUUUUUAAGGUUGUCUUGGCAAUAGACAGAAUAGUAAGAUUUUGAAGUUAAACCAUUUAUAAAGUUUACUAUAUUCAGUAACUGUCAUCUGUGUAUCAAAUUAAAUGAUUUACUGUGAAGUUAAUCCUGCAUUCAUAAAUUCUGAUGGUAUAUUUUAUGACUGUAAACAUGCUGAUAUGUAUGCCUGUUGUAAAAGUUCAAUAAAAAAUAUCAGUCUAUUGUGAAUAACAA